rnacentral:lncRNA from 1 species
CAUCUUCAUGUCAUUUACAUCAUUCAUUUGGUGAAGUUGUUGCAUUUGAUGUGUUUGCAUUUGCGCAGGCAGCUGUUGUUUUGCUGGCUGGUGCAACUGCUGCUGCUGUAUCAUUUGCUGCCUCUGCAUUAGUUGUCGUUGAUAUUGUUGUUUAAAUUGUUGACUCUGCAACAUCUGUUGUUCCUGCUGUUGUUUCAGUUGCUGGUGUUGAAGCAUACCAGAACCUGGCUGAAGGGGAUUAAGAUUUUGUUGGAUCAUAUUUACCCCCGCUUGUGAAGAUAAAGAGCUAACAUUAGUUUGUUGAGGAGCAGUAACGGAAUUUUGUUGAAGGGAGCUCAUAUUUCCUUGUCCUAAAUCCAAACUGGCACUAGGUUGCAUUGUAUUCAUCAUAUUCUGUUGUGCUGUAGAUACACCAGACAGAGAGCUAUGUUGCAUGCUCGUCAAAUUAUUCUGCUGCAUUGUUGGUACAGGGCCUUGCAUGUUGGUGGUUUGCAACUGAGUGUUCAUUUGAUUUUCAUGGGAUUGCACUUGAGUAGCUUGGGGCUGUGUCUGUGACAUGGAGUGCAUGUGAGGUGGGGGAAGCUGCCCUGGCUGCAAUGAAGAAAUUUUCCUAGGCCUGUUUGUAUUUAUGAAAUUUAUAAUCUGCUUCUCAUAUGAACCCAGUUUCUCCUUCAAACUAGGUGAGAUGUUGCUCUUGGAAACCUGGAGGAAUGUUAUAAGACGCUCCAGCAUCAUUUUAAAUACCUUCAGCUUUUCAAGCUGAUCUGACUUUGGCUGGUGGGGAAGAGAAUCAUGCUGAUAGAAAAAAGAAGAUACAACAUUAAACUCAAUAAAAAUAAAUUAUAAGCAAAUACUGAAAAAAAUCAAGAGCUUCAUUUCAAGAGAGUGAUGGGCUGAUGGCUAGAUGGUGUUCAGCACACACUGCAACCUUCAUAAUUUUCCAGGAUAAUUAUAGCAGAAAAGGCUUAUUUAUUCAUAAAAGCUACUAAAAAGUUGCCUAAAGAAAUCUACCUGAUGAAGUUUCGUUGCGAUUUUCUGAUACAUCUCGCUAAGCUCUGGCAAGUAGCUCUCUUUCAUAGCUUUGAUCUAUUAUUAAAAUCAUCCAAAUCAUAUAAGGAAUGUGUUAGAAACCAUAAAAUCUCAUGCAAAUAUAUCUGUAUUAAUUGGCACAGUAAGUAAAAUAUUUUUUUCCCAUUUGAAAAUGCCGCCAAUCGCCCAUAUCUUUUCAUAUAUUUUAGAUGAAGGAUAAGAAUCAUCCAUAUAAAAAAACAAAAAGCAUGGAUUUGUCUCCAUUUGUUUCCUUAACUGAUGAGAAUUCCAUGUUCCUACUAUUAUAAAAUAAUUCUUAGCACAAAAGCCAUUUGUUUGAAAAUUUUCUGUUGUUCAACCCAAUUUACCCAAGAAAUAAAGUUGAGAAAGUAGCAUAUUACUUUUUGAUACACUUCUUCUUGCCAAUCACCCCCACUUGUCUGUCCAGUCUGUGCUGUUGAAUCCAUAGAAUCUACAACAGAUAUAUCAUUAACUAUGUACACACAUAAGCAUACAUAGCUAAAAAAUGUGGAAAUCUGCUUUUUUUUUCCUUUGCGUUUUUAAGAGAUAUGGAACAAAUGGGAUAAUCAUAAACUAAUUUACAUGACUUCAUUCUACCAAUUUGAAAAAAUGUAUUCAUGAAAUAUUGUGGUUUCCUAUGGACUUCAUGAAGAUACUGAAGUUGGGGGUAAUCCUAAAACAACCGAUAAAUAGACCUGAGAGGCACAGGCCUUGUGCCAUAAACAGUAUAAACAUUUCAGACAGGCCUUGUGCCAUACCACAUAGGCACAUACAUUCAGACGACUUCCAAAAAGCAUUCAGACAGGGCAAAAAAUGAAGGAUAAACAGUUCGUGAAAUGGAAAAGAUGAAGACAACAGUCUCAAUUUUUCUUUAAAUGAAAUAAGAUGAUUAUCGGGAUAUAAAGAAACACGAGAUGAGCAAAAAUCACCAGGAUUGCGCAAACUAACCAAUCCCAAUAAUUUUGGAUUUGGCAUUUCAUAUUCCAUAAUAACCUUCUCAAAAUCUUGAACCUGAUUGAAACUAACCUAACGACAUCUAUCAAAACCCUAUGAUAUGCUAGAACACUAUCAUGAUUGAUCUGAAACUUGAGACUGGGUGUGGUUCUGUCUUGCUGUUUUAUCUAUGCCUUGAUUUUGACCUGCUAGUCACUGAUUCAAAUUCAAAGAGGGCGCUGUUCUACCUUUGACCUCUACAAGUUGAUUUGUUUUAGGGUAGUGUUAACUUGUGCUCUUAGGGCACAUGUUAAGAAACCCAAAAGAAGAAAUAUUCUCUAAAAUUUUGUGCAUUCAAUUCAUUAAAAAGUUAAAGAUUAAAUGCAAUGCACACAUUCCAAUAAAUUAAUUCUAUAUUUGAAUCAUUAACUUGUGCCUUAAGGGCACAAGUUAACAUUUCCCUUUGUUUUAUUAUAUAUUGUUGUCCAACCCUAGACUUAUUUUGGUAUAUUACAUUUUCUGUUCAGCCCUUACAAUUAACUAAAAUGUCAAUCUUUUAGUGUUUUAAGAUUCUAAUUUGUAACAUCAACUUUUGACUUUAUCUCUCUGUUGUCAAAGCGGAAAAGCGGCGCGGCGCAGCUACCCCAAAAAUUGACGCCCCGCUCCACCGUUUCGCAGCCGCAAAACCUGCUUCCCACAAAUGCAUGACUCGGUGGCGUUGUGACGCGGAUCCUUGUUUUUGGCCGCUCCGCGCCGGGAGCGGCCGCGUUUGACAACAGAGCUUUAUCUUAUUCUUUGUAUCCAAUUUUUACUGGGAUAGACAAGUAAUCAACCUUAAACUUCACGCUUUGACAAUCUAUGCAUCUAACCCCAAGGGUAUGUUUGGAUGGAGGUUUUGGGAGGGAGGGUUGCUUUUCAUUUUUAAAUUAUAGACACUAUAAAAUGUUUUUAAAAUAAAUUAAGUGUGAAUGAAGUACUGUAUAAUCAUUAAUCAUGUUUUUUUUUUUUUAACAAUCUUUAAUCAUGUUGUAAUUUCCAUUUUUUAAAAACAUCAAAUAUAUUUCAAAAUAUAGACUUAGCCCGACAAAGCCCUCCCCACCAACCCCCCCUCUCUCAAACAAACCCUAAAUGAUCCUACGUAGUAGAUAGGGCCCUAAAAAUUAGACUACCUCUUGAGCCAUAAUUUCAAUUGAUAAAAGAUAGAAGGACACAAAAGUUGUGUAGGUCCAGAUUGCUUACUUGACGAAGUUUCUGGGAGGGGUCUUUGUGAUUGAUAUAUCUGCUUUUGUUGAUCAAAAACACCCGAUUGUUGAAGUAAGGACCCCGAUGCCUGAAGCCUUUGCUGCAUAUCUCGUUGCAAGGGAUUUGGUUGUUGUUGCAAUUGAGCAGGCUGAGAUUGAACCUGUGGCAUCAAUUGCUGCUGCGGAGCUUGUGGCUGUGACUGCUGUGGUUGAGAUGGUAACAAAUUUGAUGCACCUUGUUGUGAUUGUUGCUGCAUUGGAACCUUCGAUUGUUGUAGCACAUGUGCAGAGUGCUGGCUUGUCUGCAUGCCUGAAUUGCCAGAUUGAGGUCCAAGGACCUGUUGCGGCUGUAACCCAGGGGCAUUAUUUCCCAACUGCUGAUUUAUAUUUGAUAGGUUGUUUUGCUGAUUUAUUAGUUUCUGCUGUUGCAAGUUUGAAAGAUUAUUCUGUUGGGCAAGUAACCUUUGUGAUUGCUGCAAAUCACCAACAUUAUUCUGUGGCCCAAGUAUCUGGUUGUGUUGCAUGUUGGUUGCAUUUGCCUGUUGACCCAUAAGCUGUUGCUGCGGCUGCUGUUGUUGAGGCAAAAUUGACUGUUGAGUUAUUGGUGUUUGUUGCUGAUGCAUAAUAGAAGUCUGUUGUUGCUGCUGCUGCCUGAUAACCUGGGGGUGUUGCUGAAGCAUGGACUGUGUUGACUGUUGACCAUUAUUAGAUUGCUGAUUGUGCUGAAUGCUAGAUAAAGAAGAUGUUUGCAUCAUGGAAGGCUGUUGCAUGACAGAUUGCUGAGAAGAUUGCAACUGAUUUGAUUGUAGAAGGUUCUGCUGCUGCUGCUGUUGCUGUUGCUGUUGUUGCUGCUGUUGGUGGUGCUGUUGCUGUUGCUGCUGUUGAGAUUGCAUCUGAAGCUUUUGCCUCAAAAGCUGCUGUUGGUACAGAUACUGUUGUGGAUUCUGUGAUUGCUGCUGCUGCUGCUGCUGUUGUUGAGGAACAACCUGCUGCCUUCCUUGCAUUUGUCUUUGGGAAGCAUUGAACAUAUUUUGAAUGUUGGAAUUCUGGCCAUUCGCGAUGGGAGUCUGAGUUAGACCAGAUACGGGUGGCAAGUUAGGUUGAGAUGCAAUAUUAUUUUGAAUGUUUUGAGAUAGAAGCUGUUGACGUGACUGGGGCUGAUUGGGCAAAGGAAUAGGAUGUUGCUGCCCUUGAUUGAGAACUUGAGACUGAAUACCAAGUCCUAUUAAAAAAAGUAUGAUUGACCAAUUCAGAGAUGCAAAAAUAACUAUGAUGUAAGUCAGACUCCAAUUGAUUCAUGAUUCAUUAACAACACAAGAAUAAUAUUAAUAUAAAAAAUAUUAAAAGCAAUAGAGAUUGAAGAUAUAGUAAAAGGAUCAUCAUGUAGGACAAGAAAAAAAGUUUUAAUGAUAUUCGAAAGCAAAAUGUCAGCGUAUAGUCCCAAUAGCUGAUGUGGAAAGAUAUGAAACAACUGAGAGCUAGAUACUCUCAGAAAACUAUCAACGUGACAAGGCUCUUAAAUGCAACCUGGGUCAGGAGGUUGAUUGCUAGGGCCAACUUGAUUCGGCGGUAUAUUGUUGGAUAUAGUGCCCUGGGAUUUAGUCUCCAUCGUAAGCAUCUUCAAAGAUAUUUUCCGUAGAUAAUCAGACUGAAAUUAGAAAAUGCCAGAAUAAAUGGUCAAUCUUCUAUAAUGGUAUGUGUUUGUUGUAUAGGUAACUAUAAUUCGAUAAUCAAGUGGCUUCUAAUUAGCGAUAUACCUGGCUUGUUGCAGCAGUAUAAAUCUUCUCUUCAAACCUUUGGGCAAUCUUCCGAAGUUCAUGCAAUCCUUCUUGACCAGAAACAGGAAGAUGCCUUUUUAAUGUGUCCAUACUCCAAAAUUGAAAAACAAUGGUUCAAUUAUUAAAUAAUAUGAAUUAUUGAUAUGUUAUAUUCAUUAGACAAUCCUCAAAUGAUGGAAUAUGACUCACAUGUAAGAAGACCUAAUUGAAAUCAUCUAGACAUGUUCUCAUAAAAAAUAAAAAAAAAGAUAGUAGAAUGGAUGUCAGACAUGGAUUACAGAAACUAUAAAUUUUCUUGGUAACAUUUUAGAUAGUCUUCUUAAAAAAGAUUCUUUGUAACAUGAGGAAAAUUCAAUCUUAAUAAAAGCACUAUAAUUUUCCGCUAAACAUCCAUUUGCCAUAAAACCGCAAACAAAAUGAGAAGAACGUCACACAAGAGCCAAAUACAAAACUCUGAAACAGUACGCAGAACACCCCAAGUUCUUGUUCAAAUCAACAAGGUAGCAUUCUCCACCCAAACACACCAUGUGUUUACAAAGAUAGCAGAUCAAUCAACAAUUUAUAUUUAAUUGUUCUUUUGAUAUGAAUUAAUAGUCAAAAACUCAUCAAAUCAGUGAUACAGUACUAAAACUAGAGCUUACAUUUUGUUGACAAUUCUUUGGCGUGAUUCAGGCUGCAAUUGACCUCUCCAAUCACUAGUAUCCAUAUUCGGUUCAGCACCUUGAUUAGGUCUCCAAUUAUUGGUAUCCAUUGAAUUUAAAUUAACUGAAACCACAAAAAGCCAAAAGAAAAUUAAUGUUCUUGUCAAAUCAGACUCUGAAAGGAAAGUAUAAAACCAGAUUAUACACAAAUAUAAAAUUAAAAAUGGUAAUAAAUGGCGGUUACUGACUUGUCGGAGCGCCAAAAAGGGCUAUCAAUAAAAUCGUGCUUUUAGUCCCUAACAUCAGCUUAUUGGGCUAUGAUGUCAUGGACUAAAAUCAUAUUUAAGCUAAAAAACACAAUACAUAAGGCAAUCAAAUCUAUAAACAUUGUCGCGGUUUCUAACAUAUAUAAUGUAAAAGUUGUGUUAUUUAAACAUUUUUAUCUCUAUCUCUCGUAAUUUUUACCUUCAAAAACUUGCACGUUUUUCAAAAACACACAAAAACAAAAGACACCGUAAUUUAUAUCAAAAUUUGUAUUCAAAAUAUCAUUACUCAUAGAUAAUAUAAUAAUCAUUUGUUCAACUGACAUGCGCGCCAAAAAUUAGCGCGCGCAUAUCAGUUGAAAAAAUUAUUAUUAUAUCAUCAUGUAUGAGUAAUGAUAUUUUGACAUAAAAAAUUGAUUGAGGAUUUCCAUGAGGAAAAUCCUUGAGAAGAUUCCAUGGAUUGUAGUAGUUGAAACAAACAAUGGUUUUAGUUUUAUCAUCUAACUAAACAUGUUAAUUAACUAACCUUAUACCUAGCAAAAUAAGAAUUAUCUUACGAAGAAUAACAGAAUCAAAAGCAAAAGUAAGGUGAAAAAAACAAAUACACGAAUCAUAUAUAUCUAGCGUUAUUCUUGUUGAUCGAUUAUUAUUCAUUCUUAUCCAAAGAGAUGAUUAAUUUUUCUUGGAAGAUCUCAACUAUUUCUUCUUCAAAGCCUUUGAAUUCAAUCAAACCGAAUCAAACAAAUAGUAGCAAAAUCAACGAGAAGAUUUAUUCAUUCAAAAAAUGAACGAGAGAGAGAGAGAGAGGGAGUGAAAUGGAACCUGAUGGCGGUGGCAGAGGCGGUGGAGAUGGAUGAAUAUUCCUCCUCCUCCGCCGAUGGUGGUUAACGGUGGCGUUGUUGCGUGUCUGAAUGGGGAGCUUGAAGGUUAAUUGAAUUGAGGCACUCUCUCCCAAUGUCAAAGAAACUUGUAAGAAAGACCGACUUCAUGUCAUCAUUCAUGUUUAUAUAUAUAAGACUUGUCUUAAAUUUAAAGACUCCCUCACUUUCCAUUUUUUUAAUAUAUAAUUUAAUUUAAUACAAAAAGUUUAUUCGUAAAUAGUUGUAAGGACGUUAAUAUGCAUGAUCUUAGUUCGAAAAUGAGAUUUUUGUCCAUGUAGAUUUAAAAUAUGUAAGUCUAUCAUUCGGUUAUUUAACAAAAAAAAAAAAAUUUAACAAUAUAUUUUUCAACUCUUCUCUCUAAUUAAAUGGUUAAAAUUCACAUGACUUUUACCAAAUUUAUAUUGGAUUCAUAUGAUUUGAUGUGACCUAAAUGAAUUUUAAUUGACAAAAGUGAAUGUCUUGAAAAAAAAUAUGUAUUAAAUAGUAUGUUAUUGUCGUAUAAAUACAACUCAGUUGAUAAUCGCAACAAUAAUAAAGGAAAUGCUAACAAGUUAUCGAUAAUAAAAAAAAAAAAAACCUUUUUACAUGAAAGUUAUCGAUUAUUUUCAUUUUUAAAUUUUUAACAAGUGUUCUUAGAACAUUUAUCAGCAACACCCAAUCAAUAAUACGCACGGAUUAAAUUUUGAACCUUAAAUUCCCGACUGUCCAUGUUUCAAAUGUGUUGUUUGGAGUUUGCAUGAUGACUAAUGAUGGCUUAGAUGACAAAAAAAAUCAUUGAAUUGAAUCAAGUUUGAUCAUAGUAAUAAUAUCACAAACUUGAUAUGCUAGGUUAAGCUAUGAAUUAAUUUUUGAAAAUGUGAAAGUUCAUGAUUGUUAUUUUCAUUUGAUUCUCUCUUUUUUAGAGAAUUUCUUAAAAUGUGAAACUCGCACUUUGUUUUUGUUCGAAUUUUUCUCAUACAAUUAAAGUUUUAAGCGGCAUACCAUGUCGUUUGCUCAUUAUUCUCUUUAUUUAUCUUUCAUUGUGAUUUCAUAUAAAGUAUAAUUUAUCUAGUGAUGGUCGUGUGAUUAUGUGAACAUAACUUAUAGUUGACAAGGAUAUUGUAAUAUGCAGAACUAGGGUUUGAACUUAAACCCUCACUUAUUCGGACCUAGAUCCCCUGUUGUAACUGCUUCACGCAGUUACAUGCAAUAGUUGAUGAUCUUAGCCACAGAAAAAUGAUUCAAUGGUUUAGAUUUUUUUUUUUUUUUGCCAGUUAUCACACAGUUUGAUCUCAGUCGUCAAUAAAAAUUAAACAACUAAGAUCUGUUACAGCAGGACGCUGUAACAACACCAAAUCUCAUUCCCACUUAUUCACCUUAAUGAAUGAAUUUUUAACCAUUACUUGACAAUAAAAAAUAUUAAUCUAGUGUUAAAAAUCAUAAAAGUGCUAGUGAUUAUUUCGUCUCCGAAAUCAUAGAUGAUAUGAGACCGACACUUUUUUUCUUUUGUUCAAUAUCUUCUUUCGAAAUAAAAGUUUUUAUUAUAAUAACAUUUUUUAGAUAACAUAUUCAUUUUAUCGUUUUUUAAUAAUUUACAUGUUAAUUCUGAAUUCUUAUGCAAAGGACAGAGAGAGAUUGAGAAAAACUAAACAAUGCGGGAACGAAAUAUAAACUGUGAGAACCCUGCUUAUUAAUAUUUAAUAUAGUGCUAGCAAAUCUUUUUCUAAAAUAUUUUGAGUCCUAAUCUUUUUUUAGAGGAUUUAAAGUCCAAUCUUUAACAUUAUUUUUUAAUCAAGUUUGUUACUAAUCUUUUUUUAGAGGAUUUAAAGUCCAAUCUUUAACAUUACAUUUUGCUCAUGUUUGUUACUAAUCUUUUUUUUCCAGAGGAUUUAAAGUCCAAUCUUUAACAUUAUUUUUUACUCACGUUUGUUACUAAUAAUUUUUUUAGAGGAUUUAAAGUCCAAUCUUUAACAUUAUUUUUUUCUCACGUUUAUUACUAAUUUUUUUUAGAGGAUUUAAAGUCCAAUCUAUAACAUUAUAUUUUGCUCACGUUUGUUACUAGUAUUUUUUUAGAGGAUUUUUAGUCCAAUCUUUAACAAUAUUUUUUGCUCAAGUUUGUUACUAAUCUUUUUUUUAAAGGAUUUAAAGUCCAAUCUUUAACAAUAUUUUUUGCUCACGUUUGUUACUAAUAUUUUUUUUAAAGGAUUUAAAGUCAAAUAUUUAACAUUAAUUUUUGCUCACGUUUGUUACUAAUAUUUUUUUAGAGGAUUUAAAGUUCAGUCUUUACCAUUACUUUUUGCUCACGUUUGUUACAAUUGAUCAAAGGCUAAGAAAUAGUAACUUAUAUCUAUAAAAUAAUAAAUAAUAUGGAAAUACUGUUUUUUGUGAAAGGGAUAUGAAAAUAUUUAGCAAUCUUUGUUGGUUGUAUUGAGGGGAACAACACAGAUGUAGAACAUAAAAACGGCUGGUAAAAAAGUAAUAUGAGUUUUUGUUGUGUGCUAGUUUUUUGUGAAUUUGAUCUUUGGUUAAUGGAGGUAAAAAAGGGUUAACGGGGAAAAUUAGUGAGAUGGAUUACUAAUGUUAUUUUAUAAUUGACUAUUUGUAUUUAAAAUUAAGGGUAUUUUUAGAAAGAAAAGUCCAACCUAAAAGUGUGCUGAAAGGGGUAGUUUUCUUUAUAUAUAUAUAUAUAUAUAUAUAUAUAUAUAUAUAUAUAUAUAUAUAUAUAUAUAUAUAUAUAUAUAUAUAUAUAUAUAUUAUUUUGAAUAGAAGUUCUAAAGGUCUUCAUUAUUUUCCCUUGUUUAUAUAAAGUAAACUUAAUGUAGUGUUGAAUGUCUGAAAAGUGUUAAGUCAACGUUUCUUCUACAAAAUCAGGUUCAAGGGACUUAAUUUGAAACUUCAAAUGUAUAUAAUGAUUUUAUUUUUUGGAAUUUUACUCUUCACUCAAACUCGGAAAAAUCUUGUACUCAUCAUAAGAUUCGUACUCAAUUUUCACUCCUUGCUUCUCAAAAUGUUAAAAAAUACGAGACCUACAAACAAUUUUUGUUUCAUUCAUGCUCUUUUUUCACAGAAAGGUCAAAAACGAAAGAACAAUACGUCCUCUCAUUCUUUCUUCCGUUUGUUUUCUUUCUCCUAGUGUUUUAAUGUAGAGUAAACAUACUUCUUCAAAAAAAUGUAGAGCAAACAUAACCCAGUGUUGAAUUUUGAAGUGUUAUGCCAUUUUUUUAUCCAUGAUUUCAAUUAACAUGCUACACAUCAAACUUAAUUUCAAAAGUCAAAUUUUUUUUUUUUAUGAUAUAAAGGCUAGGCUCCAAAAACAAAAGCAUAAAAAUAUUUAGGAAAUGAAAUACAAGCAGUGUUUGCUAAUAAAACAUUUUUGAAAUAAAGGUAGGAAGAAACUCAAAAAUCCCAAGUGCAUCUAAUAAAAACCCUGGUUAGACUCUAGCAAAACAUGGAUCCACUGAAUAUCUCCAUAAUACCGAUGAAUCCGGACAACUGAGUCAAUAACAUAAAUGAGUAUUAAGACAACUGUCUUUAAGCAAUCGAAUAACAAGCCUAGAGUCGUAGUAAACUCUAAUCUUACUGUAGCCUCUAUUCCAAUCUAUGCUGAGACCAUGUCAAAUCCCCCACAGUUCUGCUUGCAAAACUGAGCAAGAUCCAAGCUUAUUAGCAUAAUGGAAAACAAAGUGUCCUUGAUCAUCUUGUAUAAGACCUCCACAAGCAGCAUUCAGAUCACAGUUCAAAACUACAUAAUCACACUUCAGAGCAACUUCACAAGAAUUUGGAGGAAUCAGUUUAUCAAAUCAGCAUUAAGUGCUGUCUGGUGAGUGUUCUGCACAUUAUAAAGAACAAGGAACAUGUGAGACUAGCAAAAUUUCAAGUUUUAAUGAUAUUUCAAACCAAUAUGUCACAGUAUAGUUCCAAUAGCUAAUGUUGAAAGACAUGAAACAACUGAGUAUCAGAUACUCUCGGAAUACUAUCACUAUGACAAGGCUCCUAAGUGCUAACCUGGGUUAGGAGGUUCAUUGCUAGGGCCAACUUGAUUUGAUGGUAAAUUGUUGGCUACAGGGUUUUGGACCUGGGAUCUAGUCUCCAUUGUAAGCAUCUUCGAAGAUAUUUUCUGUAGAUAAUCAGACUGAAAUUAGGGAAUGCCACAAUAAAUUGUCAAUCUUCCAUAUUCAUGCAAUCACGAGGCAUCUAUAAAUCAAUAAUCACGAGGCAUCUAAUUAGAGAUGUACUUGGCUUGUUGCAGAAGUAAAAAUCUUGUCUUCAAACCGUCAGGCAAUCUUCCAAAGUUCAUGCAAUCCCUCUUCACCAGAAACAAGAAGAUGGCUUUUUAAUGUCUCCAAGCUGCAAAAAUGAAAAACAAUAAAAUGAGUUAUUAAUAUGAUAUUUUCAUUAGCCAAUCGACAAAUAAUAUAAUAUGACAGACAUGUAAAAAGACCUCACUAGAAAUCACCCAUUCUAGUCCCUGUGAUCCAUAUCCGACGUUCAAAAAAUCAAGUAGUAGAAUGGACGUCAGAUAUGGAUUAAAGGGACUGGAAAUUUUCUUGGAAACAUCUUAUAUAGUCUCCUUAAAAAAAUUCUUGGUGACAUAACUAAAAUAAAUCAUAUUAAAACAUAUGUUUACAUUUUGUUGACAAUUCUUUGGCGUGAUUCAGCUGGAAAUUGACCUCUCCAAUCACUAGGAUCCAUAUUCAGUUCAGCACCUUGAUUAAUGGUAUCCAUCAAAUUAACUGAAAACACUGAAGAAAAAAAUAGAAUAUUCGCGUUAAAAUCAAUGUCAUUCUAGCUUCAAGUCGGAAUCAAUUCUACUAGACAACAACCAAAUAUGUGAAAAUCAAUUUUGAUGGAGGAAAUUUAAUCAUCGAUCAAAGAACAAGAAUCAAAUUGAAACAUACAAUAAUUAAAGAAUCAAUUAAGUAAUCAUAUAACUAUACCCAAAAUCAAAGCCAAAACUAAACUGAAAAUGAAAGAGGAGAUUUAAUCAUCCAAAAAAACUGAAGGAACACGAAACGAAGAGAGAGUAAUGGAACCUGAUGGUGGUGGUAUGCGGCGGAGAAGAAUAUUCCGGUGGUGGCGUGAGCAGUGGUUAACGGUUAUGUUGUGUGUUGGCUCAAGAAGGAGCUUUCGCGUUAAGUAUGACUCUCUUUGUUUGGAAUCAAUCAGUUGGUCCCCCAAAAUCUAUUAAAAGUGAUAAUUGUUCAAUAAAUCUCUAAAAUUUCUAACAUUUAUUUAAAAUAAAAAUGUUCAUUGGAAUUUACACUUAUUAAUCGGUGUCUAAUUCAUAAAAAAAUACUAUGAUCAGAAGUUGUGGCGUUGUCAAGACCUUUAGUUAGAGAUUCAAAAUUAUAAAUUGGUUUGAAUACUAUGAUUUGGUUCAAUUUUUUAAAGAAAAAGUUUGAAAUAAUUCAAAAUAUUUGUAAUUUUUUCUUACCAAAUUUGAAACAAAUUCAUAGAGAACAAAUUGGUUUGGUAAGUUGAUUAGGAUUGAGAUUUGUUAAAGUGUUGAUCCAGCAUUGUUUGCAUUUUAAAGCAAUUACAAUAAAUAAACUACACAUUCUAUAAAAGCAUUUUAAUAGGGUGAACUAAAAAAAAUUAAAGCGGGUAAAUUAUGUUUGCUUUUUGUAGGGUCAAAUUAUCAUGUAAAAGUUUUUUUUUUUUUUGAAAAGAAUCGACUAAUCCGAAGGGAUCAAUCCCACCGCCCACUUGCGGGGAGCCCCGUUUAAAGCCAGAGCAAACUCUGUAUGGACUUAGCCCACCAAAAUUGGCACCAGAGGGAAUCGAACCUGAGACCUCUGGAGGAGCAAACCCCAAGAUCCCAAGCCAACCACUAGGCCAACCCCAAAUGAAUUAUCUUGUAAAAGUUAAUCAAUCUAUAGUUAAUUUAAACAGUUUUUAAUUUAAUGGUGAUAGUUUAUUAAGUACUCAAAUUUGACCCUACAUGUUUAUAUUUUGUUAUUUGUAAUUAGUUUUGAUUCAAAACUAAUAUUUAUUUAACAAUUUUUAAAUAAAUAUGGGAAGAAUCAAUAUUGUUUUUGUAUACUUUUUAACUAAAGCGAGUUUUUCUCAUAUAAAAUGUAAGUCUUUUUUUAUCAAAUAGUUUAGUAGUUAUAAAUUCAUCUUUUAAAUUGAAUUAGUGGAGAAUUUGAGUCGAACAUCUUUACAUAUAUAAUGCAAUGUGCUUAGUAUUCGAGUUAAAUUUAUUGGACAAUAAACAUGAGUCUUUUUUCAUUAAAAAAUAAAUUAGUAUUUAUGUAUGGGUAACAUAAUAAAGACCGAAUCUUUAAAAAAAAAAAAAAAAUACUCCCUCUGUUUUAUGAAACUUCAAAUGAAAUAUUAAAUUUGCAAAUGUACUCUAAAUGAAAAUACAGAUGAUAAUAAUGGUAGAAAAUAUUUAAUCAAAAAAGUAUUUUAUCUUUCUAUUUGAAAUGGUAGUGACUACACUAGUGAGACUUAUCUGUAUUACUUUUUGAAGGAGUGAGACUUAUUUUAUGUUUAGUGAGAUAAUCGAUUUUUUUAGAGGUACUGAAAAUGUGAGACUCGCAGUUUGAUUUUUUCAACUUAUUUUUUUCCCUUCUUGCAAUGAAAGUUUGAUUAUCAACUUGCAGUCACGAAACCAGUACUACACUUCAUGAUUUCACUCCUUGCAUCUCCAAAUGUUCCAAAAUAAGACCAUUGCUAACAAUUUUUGUUCCGAUCCUUCUCUUUUUAUAGAAAGGUUAUAAACGACCUGGCAUUAACUUUUCUCCUGAAGCUUUCAUAUGGAGUAAACAGAAUAUAGUGUUGAAUUUUGGAAGUGUUAGACCAAUUUUUAUCCAUAGUUAUAUAUUCAUAUAAAUAAUCUAUAUAUAUGAAUCUACUAAAUAUCUACAUAAUGACGGGAGUUGUGUUAUUUGAACAACCAUUUGAACGAAAACUUAUGAGACAACCAUAAAUUUACAAAGAAAAUGGGGUAUUGACACAAAAACCAAAGCAAUAGAGAGAGAAAGUAAAAACAUAAUGUAAAUAUGAGAGAGAAAAUUGUUACAAAAGUUGUCAAAAAGAUGGUUGUAUAAAUAUCAUUUCUCUAAUGACGGUGUGAAUCCGGUGAAUUAAGUCAACAAGAGCAUAUCACAAAUGAGUAAUAAGACAACUGUCCAUAACCAAUUGAAUUGCAAGCUAAGUUCCCAGCUUAGUAGUGUAAUGAAUGUCCUACAUCAUCUUAGUAUAAGACCUCCACAAGCUUAGUUCAAAACUGCAGUGGCAAUCCCCAAAAGUUACAAUGACAGCAAAGGUAUCAAUUACUAAAUAAAAGAAAACAAUUAAGAGAAAUAAUGUAGUACCUCAAUCUUUGGCCUUUUGAUAAUGGAUGUUGCAAUUGGCUCCAAAUCAGAAGCCUCUAUAGCAUUUAACUGCUUGAUACUAUCAUUCACACAACCAGCGGAUGAUACAACAUCAAAGGGUGUAGCAUUGAUGCAACGUUUCAUCUUCCUGGAUCCAUUCACACCAUCUUGGGGUAGGAAAUUUCUAUCCUGAAGGUGACAAUUAGUCAUGGCAACCAAAUCUUCACCAACGGAAACUAUGGAUCCAUUGCCUGGAGCCGACGCUGCUAUCCUAUCAAUCAUGCUGAUAACUGAACUAGUAUCGCUGACAGCUGCACUUAAAGCCGCAGGGGUCAAUGAACUCACCUGGAAUCAUGAUUAGACAUAAAUUAGUCAUCUACAACUCCAAAAUUAAAAGAAACUUACGUCAUAUUUGUACAAACUAUGGUCACAAAUACAGAUCGGACCAGGUUUAGAUAAACUAGACUAACCGCUUUAACUAGGCGGUCCAUAAGCUCCUCAGUAACAGUUGACUUUCCUGACGAGGGCGCUAAUGCAUUACCAAUAUGUUGCUCAAAAACCCCUGGCUUAACACCAAUUACUUGCCUCAUCUUCAUGUCAUUUACAUCAUUCAUUUGGUGAAGUUGUUGCCUUUGAGUAACUUGGGGCUGCGUUUGUGACAUGGAGUGCGUGUGAGGUGGGGGAAGCUGCCCUGGCUGCAGUGAUGACAUUUCCCUAGGUCUAUUUGUAUUUAUGAAAUUUAUAAUCUGCUUCUCAUAUGAACCCAGUUUCUCUUUCAAACUAGGUGAGAUGUUGCUCUUGGAAACCUGGAGGAAUGUUAUAAGACGCUCCAACAUCAGUUUAAAUACCUUAAGCUUUUCAAGCUGAUCCGACUUUGGCUGGUGGGGAAGAGAAUCAUGCUGAUAGAAAAAAGAAGAUACAACAUUAAACACAAUAAAAAUAAGUUAGAAACAAAUGAAAAAACAUUUAAAGCUUCCUUUCAAGAAGGGUGAUCUCUUGUCAGUGUUCGGCACACUGCAACCUUCAGAGUUUUCCGGGAUAAUUAUGACACAAAAGGAUUACAAAGUUGCCUAACAAAAUGUACCUGCUGAAGUUUCGUUGCUAUUUUCUGAUACAUCUCAUUGAGCUCCGGCAAGUAGCUCUCUUUCAUAACUUUGAUCUAUUGUUAAAAUCAUCAGAAUCAAUAAAGAAUGUGUUAGAAACCAUGAAAUAUGUCACACAAGAAUAUUUGGACUAUAGUUGUAUUAAAUGGCACAGUAAGUAAAAUAGUUUUUUCCAUUUGUAAGGCGUCGUAAAUUGCAAGUUUCGUUUGUGUGCUGAAAUUGGGAAGAUGCGACUACGCAUUUGGUUACCCAUGAGCCCAAGACUUUGAUAAUUGAAUUGAAAACUUCAAAACUCAUCAAAUCAAUACCAUCUAGGGGUGUUCAAAACCGAACCAACCCAAUAGAAAAACCGCAAACCAAACCAAACCAAUCCAAACCAAAACCGCAAAAAACCGCACUUGGUUCGGAUGAAUUCGGAUGAAUUUUGCACUGAACCGCGCGGUUUGAUUUGGUUUGCGGUUUGCAUCUCAGCUACCGAACCAAACCAAACCAAACCGCAAGAAUAAUGAAUGUUACUUAAACAUGUACUAGCCCAAUUACAUAGCCCAGGAAUAAUCUCUUUUGAUUCGAUUUUUCCAUUGUUGCACCAUGAGGUUCAAUUCUAAUUCCUUUCCAUCUCUUUUAAUUCAUUUCCAGUGAUGAAUUUGUUUCCUUUUCUUUCCAAUAAUUUGCUUCAUGCUUAUGUUUCUUCUUAAUUUUACCUAUUUUAAUAUAAGUUUUACCUAAUAUUUUAUCAUAUAAACAACAAAAUAAAAUGCCCUAUGUUUAUUUUGUAAUAAGUUGGCAAUAUUAGAGUUAAUGUAAUAUUUUUUAUCUCGCGAUAAACCGCACAAGCCGAACCAAUCCAAACCGCAUUGGUUUGGUUUGGAUGACUUUUUAAAAAUCAACCGAACCAAACCAAACCGCAUGCUUUUUUAUCUCGCGGUUUGGAUGACUUUUAUGCUCAAAACCGAACCAAACCGCACCGCGAACACCCCUACAGCAUACCAUCUAUAUCAGCAAAGAGUCAAUUAAAUAAUUACAACAAGUCUGAAGUCUUUAUUAAUGCUAUAGGAUAAAAAGUGUAGUACAGAAAAUCAAAAUGAAAAAAUUCAUUAUAGAUGCAGCCCAAAUCUUUUCCUAUAUUAGAUGAAGGAUAAGAAUCAUCCCCCAAGAAAAGCAAAAAGUGUGGAUUCGUCUCCAUUUUUUUUAAUUAACUAGUGAGAAUUCCAUGUUCCUACUAUUAAGAUAUUUCUCGGCAUAAAAAGCCAUUUAUUUGACAAUUUUCAGUUGAUAAACCCAAUUUUCCCAAGAAAUAAAGAUAAGAAAGUAGCAUAAUACCUUUUGAUAUACUUCUUCUUGCCAAUCACCCCCACUUGGCUUUCCAGUCUUUGCAGUUGAAUCCAGAGAAGACAUUUUGUUAGGUCUAUAUGUAUUUAUGCAAUUUAUAAUCUGCUUCUCACAUGAACCCAGUUUCUCCUUUAAACAAGGUGAGAUGUUGCUCUUGGAAACCUGGAGGAAUGUUAUCAGACGUUCCAACACCAUUUUAAAUUCUUUAAGCAUUUCAAGCUCAUCCGACUUUGGCUGCUGGGGAAGAGAAUCAUGCUG